UAGCCAUAGUACUUGCACUGGUUCCAAGAUCCCUACUGCUCACUCUAGAGAGGGAGCUUGUUCCAGCAGAGCACGUGUUCUUGCUGUGCUGUGCUCAGGGUGUUUGGCAUUGUAAAGGGGUGAGUGGUGAAGUGAGCAGAAGCCACGCGUUCCUGAGGAAAACACACUGCAGUUCCUUUGGACAUUAAUAUUAGAGGGGGCUGUACAUUCUGUGAUAUUAGCAGUACUGCUGUUUGAGCUCGGGGAGAAUUGCUCAUCUCCUUUUACAGAACAGGAAUUGUACCCACAAGUUACUUGGGUGAUCGAGGUUGAUUGCAGCAGCUCUAACUAUAUCAUACUUUAUCCUUAUCUCUAGUAGGAUAGUUAUAAGCUGCAUGUUGCAUAAGAUGCAUACAUCUCUUCAUUGAAACAAGGCAUUGCUAGCCAAGUGAGUAGCCUGAUCUGUGUAAGAAGCUGAGGAAAACUUACCCCCCUUUUCCCAAAGCCAGUACAGCAGGCUCCUUUUGGAAACAGCUUUAGUGGUGAGUAAAAGCUGAUACUACAGCAUAGAAUAGCACAGAUUUCUGCUUUAGAUGAAUUAAUACUAAUGAUGGGCUAAUUCUUUGGCCUAAACCCCAGCUUUAGAUCACGGUUCUUUUGGGAAAUUAUGGCCUGAGCCAACACUGGACAAGUCUGUUGCAAAAGUGUUCAAGCCAACUUCACAUAGCUUCUUGCCCUAAUUUGGGUCUGCAUUACACAGACCUGCAGCAGUAGAGUUGGUGCGUAAACAUCCCUUACAACUGGACAGAAACAGGACCAUGGAGGUACAGUUCAAAAAACAGCACAAAAGAAGACACAGCCUUGGACUUAAUCCCUUGUAAACAGAAGAAAACCAAAACAGAACUGUCCCCCCUUAAGCCAUCAAUGAGCAAAUCGGCAAUAAUUCAAACCUGGAGUUACUUGCAAUGUCCGUGUCCAUGGCUGGAGUCUGUAGCAGCAUCCCCCAGGCUAGUAUUUCCACAGCUAUGGCACCGCUCCCCACACCAACACGCCACCUCCUCCGGUGUUAACCCACAGCUCUGCCCAGGCUGCGCUUUCCAGAGUCUCUCCUCACGCCUGCCAAGGUCACACGGCCCCGUUCUCUUGUCUGGGUUUUUGUACAGAUGCCCGCGAAGUGUUGAGGGAUGGGGCUAAAGUGCAGAGGAACCCAGCCAGCAGGGUGAGGCCCAGGCCUCCCCAGGCACAGAACAUGGACCAGCCAUAGCCAUGACUGAUGUCCUCCGGCAGCCCAUAGACAUAGCGAGGAUAGCGUGACAACUCAAAAUUGAUCCCAGCUACGCACGUGCAGAGAGAGAUGAUGCAACAGGUACCUGCAGGAGAAAAGCAAGAGGGUUCUACGGUGCCCUCAGUUUACUUUGAUUGUUUCUGUUUUCUUCAUUUGUUUAGUUCCCCUCCUCUAGCCUAUCAGUUUUAAAAGGCAGAAAAAGAAAUGAAAUGGCAAAUUCAUAUGACUAGAGCAUAGCUCACACCCCAAAUAACCAAUACUGUCUUAGCUCCCUCUGUUGCUGUUUAAAUCUCAGUCAUUUGUAGUUCGUUAUGCAGCAGCUCUCUGAAGGCUUUAUCUCCAAUGACAUCUCCUGCAGAAGGUAAACAGCUUAAGCCCAGUUCUGCAACAUUCACUGCUUGCUUUCCUCUGGGAACUUCUACCCUGCUGCCAGCUGUAGUGCCAGGGUUUUUUUUUUUUUUUUUUUUAAAUCAACUGCUGCUUCUCCAUUGCUAAGUUCCAGAAUACCAGCAGGGGUCACAGACUCUCAAUAGUACUGCCUUGUGCUUUUUUUUUUAUCCUACAUCAAAGUUUUGCUACAGCAUGAACUAACUGCAGAGUCUCGUUUCUGUGAAACCACAGGAAGGUUAAAGGCAACUGUUGUGGAGACAGGACAGCUGAGGCAGGGCUGAAGUUCUUCAGAACAUUUUUUAGUCACUAAGAAUCUUGUCUAAUUAUCUUACUAAUGGGAAAAAAAAUCUCAUGUCUUUUAUGGAGUUAUGCUGAAAGUACUUUCAUCCUGGUCUAGCCUAAGUACAGCUAAGUACACACUCUCCAAAGCAUCCAUGUUAACAAAAAGGAUCCUGCCAAACUGAGAAAAUAACAGACCCAAGGUGGGGGUAAUCACUUUAUUCUCUCUGGCUCUGAGUCUAAAUACUAAUGAUAUCUUACUGCUGUGUAUUAAAAGGUUACAAACAAAAGCAUGAAAACAUGCAGCUAAGCAACAUGUAGAAUGAUCAAGGACAGUGCAAGCCUAACUACAGCCUUACUGGCUUCACACCACAGCAGCAAGCUGGCUUCCUGUGCAUCUCCCCAAAACACUUCCAGAGAAGGUUCUCAUACAGGAGGAGAAGAUUCCUCCCACUCACAACAUGGCAACAAACUACUAUCACAACUGUUAGGUUAAUGGAUAGAAAUACCAUUAGACCGCUGUGUUCUUGCUUGCCUCCCUUACAGAUGCUGACACCUGACCUCUUAGGUAGCAGCUCUGCCUUUCAAUUAAGAUGAGCAGCUACUGAAAAGGCACUUAUUUAUUGCUUGCAAUUCAAGAAUCCAUAUCCUUUCAGCAUCUUAGUAGCUUUUUGGUGCAUUUCUUGCUGCUGUGCUCCUUUCAAGUAAAGAAACAAACUGUCCUUGUUUUUCAGCUGGACAAGCAAAAGUAUAGAAGGCAUUUUUACCAAAAAACGUGAGCAUCUUUGAGCAGCAGAAAGGUGCUGCAGUUGGAUUUGUUUUCUUUGUUUUUAAGUUUCCCUAGAGAAAUCUGUGAACCGAGUUGCCUGACUAGAGUAGCAGGCUGCAUGCAGAGCAGGCAGGAGGACUGUGGGCACACACCAGCUCUCCAGAGCAGAAAGCUCGUGUGCACAUACAGCUGGGGCUGCCCAGACACAUGCAAGCACUGGUCCUGCCAGGUGUCAGAACCAGUACCAGGAGCAGAAGACAAGUGAAAGGUUCUCACCUCCCAUUAGGAAGAGCAGUCCAGCCACGUACUGCAUGAGCUCCUGCUGUUUGCAGCACCCCAGCACACCGAUGAUCCACCCAAACAGGAUAAUGGAGACUGCCAUGCCAAUGAAGCCAGCUGUCAUCCUCCUCAGAUCUAAGAGAGACAAAACAGAAAAGCAAGAAUAAAAUGAAGGUGGUGGCACCCAAACAGGACUUGCUGUUGCUAAUGUUUUUACUUACGUGCAUGUGCUCCUCCUGUAGCUUCCUUGAUAGGUAGCUUGCACAGCACACUGAAACUAUUUGCGCUCAACCAGACUCCCUUCAGCUGGGCACUGUGCAACUAGGGGGUAUUCCUUUGCUGACCAAGAGCAAUUCUGGUAAACACAUGCAAUGCAGCCAAAUAGUAUUGGACAGAAGGGGCACAUUAUGAAUUCUGCGAUGGUUUGCAAACGUUAGUACUGCAAGAACUGGUGUGCGUGUGGCUUUUCUGCAUUUUAGGGUGAGUGCUGAAAAUAGAAUUAAAAGGAAACACUGAAAAUACAGAGGGCAGGUGGCAUGAGGUAAAGACAGGAAUAGUAGAAAGACAAGCAGUCAGAAGAUCAAUACAAUAUGAAGGAAAGAAUUACAGUAACAAGUUCUUAAAAAAAAAAAAAGCUGAUGAUAUGGACAGUACUCUCAUCAUCCAUAACACAAGUGCUGUUCUUGUCUCCUCCUGGUUCUGUCUAUAGCUAGAUUUCCUCAGCACUGCAGCUCACAUAACUAAGGCCAUGAAGAAUUAUGGGAGCCACUACAACCAAAGAAAUACAGGGAGAAACAGGAGCAGGAAAGCCUGACCAAAUCAUGGUCAUCAACAGGCUACAGGUCAGUCAUCUGUUUGGGAAGGAACUGGGCACAAGGCAGCCCGUGGGUUGGGACAAACAGAGAUGUUCCCUAAAAGAGCUUGUUGCCAGGGAGCUGUGUCAGGUCACGUGUGUGCAUGCAGAAGAACCACAAGCUCUUUACAGGCUAUAUGGUGCCACAGCGCCUUGGCUUCAAGCCAGCUAGAAAUGGUCUAUCCUCAAGAGAUCCAGAAUACAAUUUUGUCUCACAACACACUAUGCAGUCUGAUAUUCCUGAAUUCCCCUGCAUAAGCCCUUGCAAAUCUUAUGGCCCCUUCCAAUUAUACUCUUGGCUGCUUUCCCAUCCUCCCUAACAAAUACCGUUAUACUUAGAGACCCGUGACAGAUACCUGCUUUAAACACCCCACAUGGUAUGACAUUUAAGGCAACAAGUAAUCCAAACAGCCUCAUACUCUGCUUUGGGUUACUUACGGAGAGCGUGCCACUCAUCCUGCCGGAUGGUGUUGGUGAUGUUGAUGGGUAAGUUGCGUGGCAGAGAGCUGGAGGUGUAGUGAUACUUUACAGCAGUGCAACGCUGAAUAACUCCUUUCCGGAUGAGCUCCUCGCUGUCCGGCUCGUAGCCCGCGCGGUGGCAGCGCCUCCAGAGCCCCGAGACGGUGGAGUUGAAGCGGCGGCCGCAGUGCGAGUCCAGCGCGGCGGCAGCGGCGGCCGGGGCGGGGGCCGGGGGUCGGCCGGGCAGCAGGGCCCGCGGGGGCCGGGCGCGGAGCGGCAGGUGCGAACUGGGCGCCGACAUGGAGCCGGGCGGGUCGCUGC
rnacentral:lncRNA from 1 species